rnacentral:ncRNA from 1 species
CAAAGGCUUGGUCCUAGCUUUACUAUCAGCUUCAGCCCGAUUUAUACAUGCAAGUCUCCGCACCCCUGUGAGAAUGCCCUCAGACCCCUGCCCUGGGAUGAGGAGCGGGCAUCAGGCACACCAUAUUAGCUCGCCCAAGACGCCUUGCUACGCCACCCCCCCAAGGGAACUCAGCAGUAAUAGACAUUAAGCUAUAAGUGCAAACUUGACUUAGUCAGGGCCACCAGGGCCGGUAAAAUUCGUGCCAGCCACCGCGGUUAUACGAAAGGCCCAAGUUGCUAGCCACGGCGUAAAGGGUGGUUAAGAUAAAACAGCAAGAUUAAAGCCAAAGAUCUCCUAAGCCGUCAUACGCACUCCGGAGGUACGAAGUCCUAAUACGAAAGUAGCUUUAAAACAUACCUGACCCCACGAAAGCUAAGAAACAAACUGGGAUUAGAUACCCCACUAUGCUUAGCCUUAAACCCAGAUGUACUUCUACACACUCAUCCGCCCGGGUACUACGAGCACAGCUUAAAACCCAAAGGACUUGGCGGUGUUUCAGACCCACCUAGAGGAGCCUGUUCUUUAACCGACAAUCCCCGUUAAACCUCACCACUUCUUGUUUUCCCAGUCUAUAUACCGCCGUCGUCAGCUUACCCUGUGAAGGCCUGGCAGUAAGCAAAAUAGGCCCACCCAAAAACGUCAGGUCAAGGUGUAGCAUAUGAAGUGGGAAGAAAUGGGCUACAUUUUCUAUAACUAGAAUACAAACGAAUGGUACUAUGAAAGCCUAGUGCUGGAAGGUGGAUUUAGCAGUAAAAAGCAAAUAGAGCGUCCUUUUGAAUUAGGCUCUGAAACACGCACACACCGCCCGUCGCUCUCCCCAUAAUCUCACUCAACAUCUCUAAUACGUCAAAAACUAACCACGGGGAGACAAGUCGUAACAUGGUAAGUGUAUCGGAAGAUGCACUUGGAAUAAC